CUCAAUGCUCCUCUCGUGUCCUCUCUUGCUGAUCGGUGGAGGCCGGAGAUGCACAGUUUCCAUCUUCGGACUGGGGAGAUGACUGUGAUGCUCGAGGAUGACGCCUUAAUCACCGGGCUUCCUACCGAGGGGAGGCCUCUAUGUAUGAGCACCGAUUCUGAUGGGUGGUGCGAGUAG
rnacentral:rRNA from 1 species